rnacentral:rRNA from 1 species
AGAGUUUGAUCCUGGCUCAGAUUGAACGCUGGCGGCAGGCCUAACACAUGCAAGUCGAGCGGAUGACAGGAGCUUGCUCCUGAAUUCAGCGGCGGACGGGUGAGUAAUGCCUAGGAAUCUGCCUGGUAGUGGGGGACAACGUUUCGAAAGGAACGCUAAUACCGCAUACGUCCUACGGGAGAAAGCAGGGGACCUUCGGGCCUUGCGCUAUCAGAUGAGCCUAGGUCGGAUUAGCUAGUUGGUGAGGUAAUGGCUCACCAAGGCGACGAUCCGUAACUGGUCUGAGAGGAUGAUCAGUCACACUGGAACUGAGACACGGUCCAGACUCCUACGGGAGGCAGCAGUGGGGAAUAUUGGACAAUGGGCGAAAGCCUGAUCCAGCCAUGCCGCGUGUGUGAAGAAGGUCUUCGGAUUGUAAAGCACUUUAAGUUGGGAGGAAGGGCAGUCAGCGAAUACCUUGCUGUCUUGACGUUACCGACAGAAUAAGCACCGGCUAACUCUGUGCCAGCAGCCGCGGUAAU